rnacentral:misc_RNA from 1 species
AAGUCGUAACAAGGUUUCCGUAGGUGAACCUGCGGAAGGAUCAUUACCGAGAUAGGGUCGCCCUCUGGGUGCCCGACCUCCAACCCCAUGUCUACCAUACCUUUUGUUGCCUCGGCGGACCGUCGAAAGGCCUGGAAACGGGCUUCUCGCCGUCGGCCGCUACCCAGCGGCCCUCGAGUGUCUGCCGACGGGACCACAGACGAACCCUUUUGUAACUAGUCAUCUGAGUUAUUUUAUAAUACUUCAAAA